rnacentral:rRNA from 1 species
AUUGAACGCUGGCGGCAGGCCUAACACAUGCAAGUCGAACGAGUGGCGGACGGGUGAGUAAUGUCUGGGAAACUGCCCGAUGGAGGUGGAUAACUACUGGAAACGGUAGCUAAUACCGCAUACCAUCGGAUGUGCCCAGAUGGGAUUAGCUUGUAGGUGAGUUAACGGCUCACCUAGGCGACGAUCCCUAGCUGGUCUGAGAGGAUGACCGGACAAACGGGAACUGAGACACGGUCCAGACUCAUACGAGAUGCAGCAGUGGGGAAUAUGGCACAAUGGGCGCAAGCCUUAUGCAGCCAUGCCGCGGGUAUGAAGAAGGCCUUCGGGUUGUAAAGUACGGUCAGCGGGGAGGCGUUACCCGCAGAAGAAGCACCGGCGAACUCCGUGCCAGCCGCCGCGGUAAUUC